GCAAGAUUAAAACUCAAAGGAAUAGACGGGGACCCGCACAAGUGGUGGAGCAUGUGGUUUAAUUCGAAGAUACGCGAAGAACCUUACCUAGCCUUGACAUAUAUUAGAACACCCUAGAGAUAGAGUGGUGCCUUCGGGAGCUUUUAUACAGGUGCUGCACGGCUGUCGUCAGCUCGUGUCGUGAGAUGCUGGGUUAAGUCCCGCAACGAGCGCAACCCUCGUCACUAGUUACUAACGGUUCGGCCGAGGACUCUAGUGAGACUGCCUUCGUAAGGAGGAGGAAGGUGAGGACGACGUCAAGUCAUCAUGGCCCUUACGGCUAGGGCAACACACGUGCUACAAUGGUUGGGACAAUGAGACGCAAUACCGCGAGGUGGAGCAAAUCUAUAAACCCAAUCUCAGUUCGGAUUGUUCUCUGCAACUCGAGAACAUGAAGCUGGAAUCACUAGUAAUCGUAGAUCAGCUAUGCUACGGUGAAUACGUUCCCGGGUCUUGUACUCACCGCCCGUCACACCAUGGGAGUUGAUUUCACCCGAAGCGGGGAAGCUAAACUGGCUACCCUCCACGGUGGAAUUAGCGACUGGGGUGAAGUCGUAACAAGGUA
rnacentral:rRNA from 1 species